GUCUACAGCCAUGCUUCCCUGAACAAACCUGAUCCUGUCUGAUCUCGGAAGCUAAACAGGGUCGGGCCUAGUUAGUACUUAAAUGGGAGAUCACCUAGGAAGACCAAGUGCUGUAGGUG
ensembl:rRNA 5S_rRNA 5S ribosomal RNA